rnacentral:rRNA from 1 species
AUUCCAGCUCCAAUAGCGUAUAUUUAAGUUGUUGCAGUUAAAAAGCUCGUAGUUGGAUUUUGGUUAAGAGGGCGCGGUCGGCCGUUUGGUCUGUACUGCGUUGUCUUGACUUCCUGAUGAGGACAUGCUCUUGGUUAACGCUGAGACAUGGAGUCAUCGUGGUUACUUUGAAAAAAUUAGAGUGUUCAAAGCGGGCUUACGCUUGAAUAUAUUAGCAUGGAAUAACACUAUAGGACUCUGGUGCUAUUUUGUUGGUUUCGAACACCGGAGUAAUGAUUAACAGGGACAGUCUGGGGCACUCGUAUUCCGCCGAGAGAGGUGAAAUUCUCAGACCAACGGAAGACGAACCACUGCGAAAGCAUUUGCCAGGGAUGUUUCCAUCG